UCAUGCCCCUUAUGACCUGGGCAACACACGUGCUACAAUGGGAAGUACAACGAGUCGCAAACCGGCGACGGUAAGCUAAUCUCUUAAAACUUCUCUCAGUUCGGACUGGAGUCUGCAACUCGACUCCACGAAGGCGGAAUCGCUAGUAAUCGCGAAUCAGCAUGUCGCGGUGAAUACGUUCCCGGGUCUUGUACACACCGCCCGUCAAAUCAUGGGAGUCGGAAGUACCCAAAGUCGCUUGGCUAACUUUUAGAGGCCGGUGCCUAAGGUAAAAUCGAUGACUGGGAUUAAGUCGUAACAAGGUAGCCGUAGGAGAACCUGCGGCUGGAUCACCUCCUUUCUAAGGA
rnacentral:rRNA from 1 species